AUAAUAAGCAAAAACAAUAUUUCCAAGAACUUCAUUUGAAGAGUCUCGCUUUGCUGGAUUCAGCAGUUCCAAAUUCCUUAUUAUUUGGAACAUCAUGUUUACACUUAAUAUUUUCAUAUGGUUCAAAUAUAUAUAGGAACAUCUUGAACCCCACUUGAAAAACUCAAGAACCAAGAUAAAGUGUUCUUACAUUGUUUGUCUUAGAUCUUGAAU
rnacentral:lncRNA from 1 species